CCUACGGGUGGCUGCAGUAGGGAAUAUUGCUCAAUGGGGGAAACCCUGAACCAGCAACGUCGCGUGGAGGAUGACGGUCCUAGGAUUGGUAACCCUCUUUGAUAGGGAAGUAAAAGACGCCACGUAUCGAAUUAGGACUGUCCAAUUCCGAGCCAGAAGCCGUGGUAACAUGGAGGGUGCCGCCGUUACCCGGAAUCACUGGGCGUAAAGGGGGUGUAGGCGGGUUAGCAAGUCAGAUGUGAAAUCCUAUGGCUUAACCCUAGAACUGCAGUUGAAACUGUUAUUCUAGAGUAUGGGAGAGGUAGGUGGAAUUCGUGGUGUAGGGGUGAAAUGCGUAGAGAUCAAGAAGAAC
rnacentral:rRNA from 1 species